AAUCAACGCUGGCGGCGUGCCUCAGACAUGCAAGUCGAACGCGAAAGUCCCCUUCGGGGGAGUAAGUAGAGUGGCGUCCGGGUGAGUAACACGUAGGUAAUCUACCUUCGGGUGGGGAAGUAACCCACGGGAAACUUGGGCUAAUACCGCAUAAUGCAGCGGCACCACAUGGUGACAGUUGUUAAAGCGGGGGAGUCUUCGGAUCUCGCGCCUGGAGAGGAGCCUGCGGCAGAUUAG
rnacentral:rRNA from 1 species